AUUUUGUUUAUUUUUAAUACAUAGUGUUAAACUAAAAUGCAGCGAGUUUUUAGUUUAAGGUAAUGUUUAAUACAUAUUGUUAAGAGUAUUUGCACUAGAUAUACAUGAAACAAUAUUUAAUUAGGUGAAUGGCGAUGCCACUGUUGUUUUUUCAGUAAUGCCAAUAUUAUCCCUAUUUUGUGUUAACUGGGAAUAUAGGUUUAGAUAUGUUUGACUGACACAUCUCUAAGACAACUGGUUGAACAAGCUUCAUAAUAACUAAAAUCCAUUUUCUAUUUUGCUUUUUACUUAUAUUGUGGACCAUUCAUAUUUUGUUUUACGAAUCUCAUAUCUCUCAUCUUUGUGUUUCCUCUCUUCUUGUUUUCUGUUUAUUGAAAAAAUCUCAAAUCUAAUUAAAUUCAAUUUCCAUGGCUAACUAGAACCGGAGAUGGCAGAGGGAAAGCGGCGGUGGUCUCAGAGCUAAGCAAAUCAUGAUUCCAUGUCUAACCAGAGGCGAUGGUGUCUCCAAGAAAAGAUGAAAUAGGAAGAAUAAAUGGUGGUCUGACGUCAAGCGUGGUGCAGUGAUGAAGCUAGAGAAGAAGAUAUGUCCGAGAAGAAGAAAAUGAGACAAAAAACAGGCUACAAGGAAAAAGAUGUAAAUUCGCUUUGAUUCAUAUGACCAACUACCUAAAUAAAGAAGUUUUUGUCUUGUUGCCUAAAUAACUUUUGUUUUAUGGUUAUCUACCUAAAUGACUCUAUUGUUAAUCUUUUUGGACAGUUAAAUUAGGAGACAUGGUCUCUUUUAUUCAAAGGGUGAAUUUUAUUUA